rnacentral:rRNA from 1 species
AGGCUUUAGUGGCGACCGGGUGCGUAACACGUAGCUGACCUGCCCCUCAGCGGGGGACAACAGUUCGAAAGGACUGCUAAUACCGCAUGGACUUGGGAAACUUAGAACGUCUCAAGGAAACUUACGGGGCUGAGGGAGGGGGCUGCGGCCCAUCAGGUAGUUGGUGAGGUAACGGCUCACCAAGCCAACGACGGGUCGGGGGCCUGAGAGGGUGGUCCCCCACACUGGGACUGACAAACGGCCCAG